UCUGAAAAGCCUUUUGGAUCAGCCCUGUAAGAGCAGCGACAGAAGAGAAGAAUCAACGGUGCACCUGUGCUUUUAAAUAAAAGCUGUGGCUGCCUGCCUCUCGUUAAAGGAUUCUGCUAACCGGCAUUGAUGCUGAUAUCCUGAACUAUCUCCAGCUGAAGCUGCCCAGAAGUUUAAAUUCAUUUACCCGAGUUUUCAAGUGGAAGACAGUGGGAGUUGUAUCUACAUACGCUAGACCUGGAGUCGUUCCUUUAUCACUUUCUCUGAGGAGAUCCACAGUCAACGUUCACUCUUACUAACGACGAGCUGCUGUAAAAUGGUGGAAAGGAUGGUGCUGAGAACAGGACGUAGGAGUCGCUUCAGCGGGGGAAAUACAACAGGCAAGACAGGCACAAAGGGGUAGAAGAAGAGAAGAGAUUGUCGGGAGACACGCCGAGAGUGGUCUUUGCAGCGUGGCUGAACCACUAGUUUUGUCAUAAGAAUAACUCAUCAAGGUUUUACGACUAAUAAAUUCUCUAAAUUACAGUCCAAGGAUGCAUUACUUUAAUUUUUCCUCCAUAUUCUGUUUUUAAUUGCCAUGCUAUUUCCCACUUGCCUUUUUUAAUGACUCGUUAGGCUUAAGGGGAAAGAAUAGAAUUUAGUCCACCUGAGAGCUUGCAUCAAGUUUGGACACCUGAGAAGGGAAGCGAGGCAU